CGAACGCUGGCGGCAGGCCUAAUACAUGCAAGUCGAACGGCUCUUCGGAGCAGUGGCGGACGGGUGAGCAACGCGUGGGAAUGUGCCCUUAGGUACGGAACAACACAGGGAAACUUGUGCUAAUACCGUAUGUGCCCUUCGGGGGAAAGAUUUAUCGCCUUUGGAGCAGCCCGCGUUGGAUUAGGUAGUUGGAGAGGUAAAGGCUCACCAAGCCGACGAUCCAUAGCUGGUCUGAGAGGAUGACCAGCCACACUGGGACUGAGACACGGCCCAGACUCCUACGGGAGGCAGCAGUAGGGAAUCUUGCGCAAUGGGCGAAGGCCUGACGCAGCCAUGCCGCGUGUAUGAUGAAGGUCUUAGGAUUGUAAAAUACUUUCACCGGGGAAGAUAAUGACGGUACCCGGAGAAGAAGCCCCGGCUAACUUCGUGCCAGCCGCCGCAGUAA
rnacentral:rRNA from 1 species